rnacentral:misc_RNA from 1 species
GUCCACAUCAACCUUUCUUUCCUCUGACUUUGUAGAAAGCAAAGCUUUCCUCUUUUCUUCGCGAAUUUUCUCAUACUCUUCCAGAGUCAUCUCCUAUCAGAUAAAACAAAAAUCAAUUACUUGCAUACCAAACAUUAGCACAGAAUAGGAAAUAUACACAACUGUUUUUUAAAAAAUUUACAAUUAGGAGGAAAAAUCAUACUGCGCAAUUGUAUUUUUAAACAACAGCACAAUUAUGCCCCAGGCAGACUGAAGAGUUUAAUCAAUUAGAUCAUUCAACCACAGCAAAACAAAGUAUCCAAAUGUAGUAUAACUCAAAUUUACAUUCAGUAACCUUUAUCAACACAUUAUAACAUGCAUAUCAGAGUAAAACAACAUCUGUUACUCCGCUCAGAAUACUAAAUCCUCAUUCAUAGUUUCAUAACCAAUAUGCAAUAGUAAGUAAUCAAUUUCCUUCAUUUUUUGUCAUGAUCCUGUCUGUAUGAACUUUAUAUCUUUAUUCACACAAAAUCCACAUUAUAACCAAAAGGCAAUAGUAAAUAGUAAAUUUCCUUCACUUUUUGUCAUGAUCCAGCAUGUAUGAACUUUAUAUCCUUUGAUAUAAAAAUAUGUAUGCAUCUAUAAAAUAAUAAUAAUAGGCACAAUAAGAAAAAAAUUAUCUAAGAGACAAGAAACAAAAGCUUGAAGAAAAUGCUUCCGUGUUACACCACGACAAAAGCUAGAUCCAACAAAAAAAAAAUUUCAAAUAAGCAGCAAGACAAUUCAAAUAUGAAACCCCAGCUUCACCAUCCACCCAUUUAGUACAUUUUGACCCCCGACCAAGGAGACAUAAAAAGUCUGUUCAACUUCUGUAAUAUCAUACCCAAAUUCACUGAAUCCUGGAAUCAAGAAAAGCACUAUAACCUACCUCUGACCAAUCCGUCUUUACUUUAGCUGAUAACUGUCCACUUAAUAUUAUGGUAUAGUACUAUGGACAUCAAGAAAAUCAAAAUAACAAUUGAAAUAAUUUAAAAUUUUCUUGAAAUAUGACUCAAAAGUAAAUUUCAGGAAAUAAACACAAAACAAGGUCCAGAAAAGAAACUGUACCUUGUUCUCGGGUUCCUUCUCUUCAGGCUGAUCUACAGGACUGUCCUUGUUGGCAUCUGCAGCAUCCUCCUCUCCUGGCUGUUUCUCAGAACUAAUGUCCUUUUCAUUUUCAACCACAGGUUCUUCAGUUUCCUGAGCAAUUUCAUCAGUGGGAGUUCCCCAAUUACCACGACCAGCUCCAUCACGUUUGACCUCAUUGCCACGACCAGUACCACUGCGACGUUCAUACAACCUACGAGGGCGUUCACCCUCUCCAGCUUCCCCAUUGCUCAAACCACCCCGGCGGCCACCACGGAAGCCACCAUGAGGGCCUCCAUAGCCACGCUUCUCAGAUGGCUUCCCAGUGUCACCCUCUUCAGACGGUCUGUACCCUCUAGAAAAUCCAUUGUUGCUGCCAAAGGUAGUCUCAUUGUUAUUUGAAUCUCGAUUAAAUCCACUGCUACCUCCACACCCACGACUAGAGCCCUGUCCACCACCUGGGCCCCCUCCACAUCCACCUUCAUUCCUUGCUUCUGUCACAUCCUGGGUCGGAGGAGGUGGCUUGGUCGGAAAGCAGCCUUAGCAAGUUGAACGUGAGCUUGAGGUUGGGCAAGAGCCAAGGGCUUCUUAAGCUUCUCAGUCUUAAGCUGACCAGAGACAAUGAGCUAAGCAGGGUCCUCAUUGUCAUCGUCGCCUAGGAGAUCGAAAGCGUUCAUGGUUGCCAUUUCUUUAGAUAGUUGGAUAAAUAAGCAGAAGCUUAAUACCGUUCAUUUUUAACUUUAACAGCAACCACGAGCCCUCUAAUGCUUGUUUAAACCCAUGAGUGAUGAACCUAUCUAAGAUUGAUAGGAUAUUGUUGGAAUGGUAUUGGAUAAAGCUUGUUUGGGAGGUGAGAAAAUGGAAAAGAGGUGAUGGGAGAAAACGAAAGAGAAAGGAAAGAGUUUUAAGGAAGACUGAAAACCCUAGCCAAUGCGGCAAAGAAAUAAAAAUGAGCAUCAACCUAAUCUCAAAAACCCUACUAAAAAAGUUUACUGUAAGUGAGGGUGCAUCGUAAGAUAUGUGGCACCAUUUAG